rnacentral:snRNA from 1 species
UUCGGCAGCACAUAUACUAAAAAAAAAAAAAAAUUGGAACGAUACAGAGAAGAUUAGUAUGGCCCCUGUGCAAGGAUGACAUGCAAAUUCGUGAAGCGUUCCAUUAAAAA